rnacentral:rRNA from 1 species
GACAGAGGGUGCAAACGUUGUUCGGAAUUACUGGGCGUAAAGGGCUCGUAGGUGGCCAACUAAGUCGGACGUGAAAUCCCUCGGCUUAACCGGGGAACUGCGUCUGAUACUGGAUGGCUUGAGUUCGGGAGGGGGAUGCGGAAUUCCAGGUGUAGCGGUGAAAUGCGUAGAUAUCCGGAGGAACACCGGUGGCGAAGGCGGGUCUCUGGGCCGAUACUGACGCUGAGGAGCGAAAGCGUGGGGAGCGAACAGG